rnacentral:lncRNA from 12 species
UGACCUUGAAAAGUCUCCGUAAGCCUUACUUUUCGCAAUUUCUAAAUAGGAACACGUGUGGUAAAACACUUCGGUAAAUCUAAAUGGUGUGAUGUGUUUUAAAUUUGGAACUGUUAGCCUAAUAUAGUAUGUGGUUUAUCUCAAGUGAAGAUCCCAGCCACCCUUACAGCACCAGAUUCUUCUUCCUUUCUUAGGAAAAGAGAGACAAGGCCUUGAAAUAGAAAUUUUUAUUUGAAUAUUUACUUGGGACUAAAUCAAGGAUGGAGCCAUCUUCUCUAAGACUCUUCAUUUAGACCAAGUGUGAAUGGUGAGGUAGAGAGAGAGUCCUUCUUCACUCCAGCUCUGCAAUAACACCGCGGACUACCAAAAGGAUGACUGCAAGAGACACCACGACUUCUAGAAUGACCUGCUGGAUAUGUAUUCUUAUUCUUCCAGAAGCUGUGUGUGGCCAUGACAAUGUGAAUGGAGGGACUGGCUUCACCAAAUCAUUCACUCUACCCAGCUCAGGAAAAGGACAAUGCAGGAGAGACAACAAUCAGAAAGGACUCCAUUGACACAUACACAAGACAUUCUCCUUAUCACAGAGGUCCAGAAGGAACAUCUGCUCCUGGAUGGGGUCAAAUAGUCUGCAAAAGAAAUGUGCUGCUGAGGCCAUGAAAUCAGAGGAGCUAAAACAAAAAAACAGAACCUCAGAAAAAUGAGGUAUACACGCAGUUGCUUUUACUCAGUAAUUUAGAUUCUUGACGUAGGUAAAAGACUGAGAAUCCAGAGUUCAAAGUGUCCACUUUUCACACAUCUCAUGGAUUGCUAAAUCAAAGAAAAGAAGUUAUUUGUUUAUUUAUUUAUUUUAGGAUGAUGGUCAGAUUUCAGAUCCUGUUUUCUCAUGUCCUGCAGUACAAUAAUAUAGUGCACAUACCAUUGGCUCUAAAUUUAAGUACAUCUGCAUUUGAAUCCUGGCUCCACUGUAAGUAUAUGACCUAGGGAUACCUGGGUGGCUCAGUAGUUGAGCAUCUGCCUUGGGCUCAGGUCGUGUUCCUGGGGUCCUGGCAUCGAGUCCUACAUUGGGCUCCCUAUAGGGAGCCUGCUUCUCCUUCUGCCUGUGUCUCUGCCUCUUUCUGUGUGUCUCUCAUGAAUAAAUAAAUACAAUCUUUAAAAGAAAAAGAAAGU